GACCGGGAGGAGUCAGAGGUAUUCCUGAGGGAGCGGUAAAAUGUGAUAAUCUCAAGAGGAUCACCUAUGGCGAAGGCAUCUGACCAGAACGGUUCUGACGGUGAGGGACGAAGGCUAGGGGAGCGAUCCGGAUUAGAUACCCGAGUAGUCCUAGCAGUAAACGCUGCGAGCAAGAUGUUGCAUUUCUCACGAGGAUAUGCAGUGUCGAAGAGAAGUCGUUAAGCUCGCCGCCUGGGAAGUACGGUCGCAAGACUGAAACCUUAAGGAAUUGGCGGGGGAGCACCACAAGGGGUGCGGCGUGCGGUUUAAUCUAACUCAACACAGAGAACCUUACUAGAAGCGACGGCAGGAAGAAGGCCAGUUUGAAGGGCUUGCCUGACGAGCCGAGAGGUAGUGCAUGGCCGCCGUCAGCUCGUGUCGUAAGAUGUCCAGUUAAGUCUGGCAACGAGCGAGACCUGUACCUGCUAUUGCUAACAGCCACUUCGGUGGGACUGAGCACUUUGCGGGGACUGCCUUGGAAACAAGGAGGAAGGUGUAGGCAACGGUAGGUCUGUAUGCUCCGAAUCUUCUAGGCUACACGCGCGCGACAAUGGUAGUGACAAUGGGCUGCGACUCCGAAAGGAGAAGCUAAUCCUCGAAACAUUACCUCAGUUCGGAUUGCGGGUUGUAACUCACCCGCAUGACGCCGGAAUCCCUAGUAACCAGAGUUCAUCAAAUUCUGGUGAUAUGUCCUGCUCCUUGCACUCACCGCCAGU
rnacentral:rRNA from 1 species